rnacentral:rRNA from 1 species
AUGACACUCGAAGAAGAGCUCUCCAAGCUGGCUGCCGAUGUAGCGGCCAUCUCGCCGGCACCGGUGAGGAAGGCCGUGGAUGCACUGGCGCGCAGCAGCCCCGCCCGCGCCGCCGCCGAUGCCCUAGUCUACCUCUCCGUGGGCACGACCUGCGCGGUCUUCGCGGCCGCCUUCUUCACCAUCUUCGCGGACCUGGCCUGCGCCCGCGGCUGGGGCUGCACCCCGGCCUAUGUCCUGUCCGAGAUAGCGGACUAUCUAUCCACACCUGUCCUGCUUCUCCUGCCGCCGGCGCUCGUGCUCUUCUUCCUCCGCGCCGCCGGCUGCAGGACCAAGGCGGCGGACGAGGAGAGCCUCAUCGUGAAGAAUGACGAGGGGGAAACCCUUCUGUCGCCGUCGCCGCUGGCCUUGGCAAUUCUGUGGCUUUUCAUUGGGGCGGCGUCGAUGGGAGCCAUCUCCUUCCUUCUUUUCAAGUGUGGAUAUACAGAGAUCUCCGACCUUCUCGGCUACGCGGCUCUCUUGUGCACGUUCAUGUGGGAAGCCCUCGUCUAUGUCCGCGCUGCAGUGGCGCUGUGGAGGAUGAAUCCCGGGCCAAGCAACAUGGUGCCAUCGACUGACUAA